GAUGAACGCUGGCGGCGUGCCUAAUACAUGCAAGUCGAGCGAUCAGACGAGGAGCUUGCUCCUCUGACGUUAGCGGCGGACGGGUGAGUAACACGUGGAUAACCUACCUAUAAGACUGGGAUAACUUCGGGAAACCGGAGCUAAUACCGGAUAAUAUAUUGAACCGCAUGGUUCAAUAGUGAAAGACGGUUUUGCUGUCACUUAUAGAUGGAUCCGCGCCGCAUUAGCUAGUUGGUAAGGUAACGGCUUACCAAGGCAACGAUGCGUAGCCGACCUGAGAGGGUGAUCGGCCACACUGGAACUGAGACACGGUCCAGACUCCUACGGGAGGCAGCAGUAGGGAAUCUUCCGCAAUGGGCGAAAGCCUGACGGAGCAGCGCCGCGUGAGUGAUGAAGGUCUUCGGAUCGUAAAACUCUGUUAUUAGGGAAGAACAAAUGUGUAAGUAACUAUGCACGUCUUGACGGUACCUAAUCAGAAAGCCACGGCUAACUACGUG
rnacentral:rRNA from 1 species